ensembl:snRNA U6 U6 spliceosomal RNA
AGUGCUCGCUUUGGUACCACAUACUAAAAUUGGAUACAGAGAAGAUGAACAUGGUCCCUACCCAAGGAUGACACCCAAAUAAUACGUAAGAACAAUUAUAAU